rnacentral:lncRNA from 1 species
CUGGCCUCUUGGUGAAAUUAUAUUUUGAUCGGAUCACUUGACUAUUCGAGCUGACCCAUGUCAGCUAGGUAAAUCAGUGUGACUGAUUUAGGUGCUCUUAGACUAGCCCUUUUAAAUGGUCUCCCUUAAGCUGACUUGGUGAAGCCAGUGGGAGGAUCAUGAUAAGCUGGUUCAUCUAACCUCCUCCUCUAAAUCAAUUAAAUCUUCUAAAAUUAUUAGGUCCUUAAAAUAAAAUAGUUAUGGUGAUAACUAGAUCAUAGCCUCCCAUUAAGUGGAUGAUAAUGGGUCCAUCAGUUGGAUAAUCAUUGGAGGCCCAAAGGCCUGAUGCUUAUUGACUGAUGGAAUUGUCAUUCAUAAUAUGAUUUCUUGACUGCAUCUUUCUAAAUGAUGGUUAGGUUAGUCAACCAAAGUUGGG